GUCCUAGCCCUAAACGAUGCUCAUUAGAUGUGGGAGGUAUCGACCCCUUCCGCGUCGCAGCUAACGCAUUAAAUGAGCCGCCUGUGGAGUACGGCCGCAAGGUUGAAACUCAAAGGAAUUGACGGGGGCCCCGCACAAGCGGUGGAACAUGUGGUUUAAUUCGACGCAACGCGAAGAACCUUACCCGGGCUUGAACUACUCAUGGUAGUUCGCUGGAAACAGUGGACGACCCGCAAGGGAGUGAGCAGAGGUGCUGCAUGGUUGUCGU
rnacentral:rRNA from 1 species